UCCAUAUCCACCUUGUGUGCAAUGUCGGUCGAUCUUCUUCAUGGAGAUCGACCAAACAUCAACCUUUAUUUUUUAACUCUUUGUCUGAAAAAUAUUAUGAAUAAACAAUUCAAAAUACAACUUUCAACAACGGAUCUCUUGGCUCUCGCAUCGAUGAANAACGCAGCGAAAUGCGAUACGUAAUGUGAAUUGCANAAUUCAGUGAAUCAUCGAAUCUUUGAACGCAUAUUGCGCUCUUUGGUAUUCCGAANAGCAUGCUUGUUUGAGUAUCAGUAAACACCUCAAAGCUUUUGGAUUUUUUAAUCGAAAAGCUUUGGACUUGAGCAAUCCCAACACCAAUCUUUUUGAGAUCGGUGGCGGGUUGCUUGAAAUGCAGGUGCAGCUGGACAUUCUCCUGAGCUAAAAGCAUAUUCAUUUAGUCCCGUCAAACGGAUUAUUACUUUUGCUGCAGCUAACAUAAAGGGAGUUUGACCGUAUUGGCUGACUGAUGCAGGAUUUCACAAGGGUCGGCAACGAUUCUUGUUAAACUCGAUCUCAAAUCAAGUAAGACUACCCGCUGAACUUAAGCAUAU
rnacentral:rRNA from 1 species